rnacentral:sRNA from 1 species
UCCCAAUUGUGGUGUGUAUUUUCCUUUUCAAUAUGUAUUGGAAAAGAAAAAAACAGCGCGAAUUUGG